rnacentral:rRNA from 1 species
GGACUACCGGGGUAUCUAAUCCUGUUUGAUCCCCACGCUUUCGUGCCUCAGCGUCAAUGUCAGUUUAGCGAGCUGCCUUCGCAAUUGGUGUUCUGUGUCAUAUCUAAGCAUUUCACCGCUACACGACACAUUCCGCCCACCUCAACUGAAUUCAAGAUUGAUAGUAUCAAUGGCAGUUCCCGAGUUAGGCCCGGGGCUUUCACCACUGACUUACCAACCCGCCUACGCACCCUUUAAACCCAGUAAAUCCGGAUAACGCUUGCACCCUCCGUAUUACCGCGGCUGCUGGCAC